UUGCAGGACGACGAAGACAUACGACUGACCUUUGGUCCACAAAGUUUCAUCGUCAAGGAGCCGGCUGCAUAGACCGGACAUGCUCGAGUGGAUCAGUGUGCUCUUUCAGUGGAAUGGGAAUGACCAAAUAACCAAUCUGGUUUCCCCAGCGUGCUUUGGAUGAUCCCUCCAUCAUGUCUGCUAUCUCCUGUGACAACAACGAAAAAAACACGGUAGCUCGCGAUCCCUGCUGAAACAAAUCCGAGCAUGACGUCGUUGAUCGUCUGCGACAAGGAAAAAGAAUCCAACAUCCAAGUCAGUCAGAGGGUGUUCAGGCAUGCGCUCGACUCCAGGAGACCCUUUAAUUGGCGUGGAACUGUCCUUGGAGAACAAAGUGACUGCUGCAAAUCUCCCAACCUCGGUUACUGUGUACCACAGCGUAGCAAGCACUGUCCAGAGGACAAACCAGAGUCCCGCGAAGAACCCUUUCGGGUGCUGCUUUCGAGGGAAACCAGAGAGAUGCCGUCGCCGAGCGAGUGGUGGACUCUUAGAAUGCAACUGGCAGCUGAAUCCGACGACGGGACGUUGAGUAUGUGGACCUCCCAGAGUGGCUUUCUUGGAUCGAGCGGUGGAGCGACGGCCAGAGCAGCGGCAUAGUCCUCAACCGGCGAAGCAGACUUCUGGGCCUCUGAGCCAUCGAGUUGCUGUGAACCCAAGAAAGAGAGGCGUUAAGAGAUUGAAGCGAGGGAAGAUGAACAUACCAUGAUGCUACUGAAUCUUUUGUGCUUGGCAAAGCCGAUGAUGCAGAGAAUGGUGCAAUGAAGUCGAGGCUGGAUGAGCAUUCUUCCAACGGGACUCACUGGCUCUUCAUUCUCCGGAUCCUCCGCCAUGGAAUUUUGGUUCUCUUGCAAAGGAGGAGACAAUUUCUUGGAUCGAAUUCGCAGUCCCAUAGCUAAAGGGCAAACAAGGGUUUCACACCCUCGAAAGUUGACUAGAUUAAUUUACCAUACGACCUUAAUAUCG